UACAGAGGGUGCAAGCGUUAAUCGGAAUUACUGGGCGUAAAGCGUGCGUAGUCGGUUAUUUAAGUCGGAUGUGAAAUCCCCGGGCUCAACCUGGGAAUUGCAUUCGAUACUGGAUAGCUAGAGUUCGGCAGAGGGAAGUGGAAUUUCUGGUGUAGCGGUGAAAUGCGUAGAUAUCAGAAGGAACAUCAGUGGCGAAAGCGACUUCCUGGACCAGAACUGACGAUCAGGCACGAAAGCGUGGGGAGCAAACAGG
rnacentral:rRNA from 1 species